CUCUUCUUGGUUUGUUUUUUGAAGUAUAGCCUGCCCACUGAUAUUGUUUGAAGGGCCGCGGUAUUUUGACCGUGCAAAGGUAGCAUAAUCAUUAGUUCUUUAAUUGUGAACUGGUAUGAAUGGCUUGACGAGGUGCUGACUGUCUUUGUGUUUAAAAGUUUUGUUGAAUUUAGUCUUCGGGUAAAAAUACUCGAAUUUUGUUGUGGGACGAGAAGACCCUAUAGAGUUUCAUGUAACUUUCUUUUUUUUGUUUGUUAUUUCUUGCUGAGUUUGGUUGCAUUUUGUUGGGGUGAUGAGAAAAUAUGUUUAACUUUUCUUUUUAAUGUUUCACUUAUUUGUGUUUUCAUGAUCCUUUAUUAUUGAUUAUAAGAUUAAAUUACCUUAGGGAUAACAGCGUAAUCUUUUUUGAGAGUUCUUAUUGACAAAAAGGUUUGCGA
rnacentral:rRNA from 1 species